rnacentral:rRNA from 1 species
GAUGAACGCUGGCGGCGUGCCUAAUACAUGCAAGUCGAGCGAACAGACGAGGAGCUUGCUCCUCUGACGUUAGCGGCGGACGGGUGAGUAACACGUGGAUAACCUACCUAUAAGACUGGGAUAACUUCGGGAAACCGGAGCUAAUACCGGAUAAUAUAUUGAACCGCAUGGUUCAAUAGUGAAAGACGGUUUUGCUGUCACUUAUAGAUGGAUCCGCGCCGCAUUAGCUAGUUGGUAAGGUAACGGCUUACCAAGGCAACGAUGCGUAGCCGACGUGAGAGCGUGAUCGGACCCACUGGAACUGAGACAAGGUCCAGACACCUAAGGGAGGCAGCAGUAGGAAAUCUUCCGCAAUAGGCGAAAGCCUGACGGAGCAACGCCGCGUGAGUGAUGAAGGUCUUCGGAUCGUAAAACUCUGUUAUUAGGGAAGAACAAAUGUGUAAGUAACUAUGCACGUCUUGACGGUAACUAAUCAGAAAGCCACGGCUAACUACGUG